GUAAUAGCAAACUAGGGUUCCGGCUUUUCUUAUAAGAAUUACAAGAAAAGUGACUGGUCCGAGAGUUUCUGGCUUCGACCAUGACGAAGCUCCACGGAGGGAUAAAAGCCCGGGAGAU
rnacentral:sRNA from 1 species